rnacentral:lncRNA from 1 species
ACCACGAACCCACCAGAAGGAAGAAACUCCGAACACAUUUGAACAUCAGAAGGGAUAAACUCCAGACGUGCCACCUUAGGAGCUGUAAACCUCACCGUGAGGGUGCGCGGCCUCAUUCUUGAAAUUGAGUUGACUUCAAGAAUCGGUCUUCGAGCUUCUUUCCUCAGCUUGGUUGAUUCUGCUGUUAAUACUUGAACCCAGCCAGCAUGCUUGUGAGAAGCAUGCCUGAGUCCUAGAGAGUCAAUAGUCUCUGAUGAAUGCCACCCAACAGUCAAUAUCAACUGAAAGCCAUCUGCGUGAGCCAUCUCAGUCCAGUCAAGCUAUCAACAUGACUGCAGCAGCACUGGAGACUGCAAGAAAGAAUUGCCCAGCUUAGGCCAGUCAACACACAGGAUUACAAAAGGAGUUUUGCUGGUGGUUAAGUAUAUAUUUCAAUGGUCCGUGUAAAGGAAACAACAGUAGACAAAGAAAAUUGUAUUUCUCGGCUGACUGUAUUGUCUUUCCUGAGGACCCUCAUCAUAACAACUUUUUCUCUGGUGACAGAUUUCCAAUGAAUCACCCUGAAGUAGUACCUGCAAUGACGUUGCACACACUAUUCUCUGCAAUCAGCUGUGCGAAGACAGCUGUCACUCCUCUUCGUCACUAAAGGGAAUCCCAGUCUGAUGGCAGCAGUCCCAUGGUAAGAUCUGGUCUGCAGAGAAGAACCAUCACAGAACUCUCCAAGAAUAUAUUUAUCAAAGCCAUGUGGAAGAGAGUAUCCUCUGGACCAUCCCAGGAUGAUUCCUGGCCACAGCAAAGAGGAAGCUUGGGUUUGCAUGUCCAGGACCUCCACCCUAAGUAUUCAGGCACUCUUUUUGACAUCAUUGCUGUUGUUACUUAGGUGUAUCUCCUUGGUUGUGUUUCUCCAUUCUGCUAUAAAAACUGAGAAAACACAGAUCUUAACGAUGCUGUGAACUUGAUAAGCAUUUAAUUGAAUCCUCCAAAUAUAAAAUUUUAAGUGGUCAUCUUAAACAUAGCAAGACUUGAAUUUAAAGUAUUAUACCAAAUCAAACAGUGGCCAGAUGGCGAUUUUAAAAAUUACAAACUCAUAUAUUUCUUCCA